CUGCGAAGUUGAUACGAUGGAUCUGAAGUCAAACAAAUAGGAUAAUUACAUAAUCUUUAUUGACAAGCAUUUUAGAAAGUCCCAUUGAGUAGAUGUUAGAUGAGAAGACUGUGCCUGCAGCUACCGCUCAAGCUAGCACUUAGACAUACUCCUACAAGAACCAUCUCCUGCUCAGGUCGCUCCGUUUGCUGGCUCAUUAAUGAAGCUCCCCAAGAGGUCGUACACCUGCUGAAACAGCCUCACAUCCUGAAAACAAAACAAUCAUAAAAUUCCUUCAUUUUAUCAUAAACUCAAAGAUUCAGGUUUGUAAUUCAGAGGACCUCUGUUUGGCUUGUAUGACGUUGAAACUUUUCAACUAAACCCUAGGAAUCACUGCCUAAAGGUGACCCACCGUGCAAAAACAGGUUGAAUCAAUGUUGUUUCCAUGUCACAUCAAUAGAAAAUGUAAAUGUGAUGAUGUUCAAUCAAUGUGGAAAACUGAUUGGAUUUGAAAGAAGUCAUCAACGUAAGGAAAUUUCGUCUUUUCUGUAACGGCUGUCGUACGUAAUGGACCAAGGCGCAGCGGGUUGAGUGCUCCUCUUAACUUUAUUUAGAACACUUAACGAACAGUAUUGCAGGCUACACACAGCUAUGCAACAACAACUUCCCACAAACCACAGGUGAAAAAAGGGCUACCUAAGUAUGACUCCCAAUCAGAAACAACGAUGUACAGCUGUUCCUGAUUGAGAGCCAUACCAGGCCAACAAAGAAAUACACAACAUAGAAAACCAUAGAAAUACAAAACAAGAACAUUACCCAAACACCCCGGAACACAUAAAACAAACACCCCUCUUACAUAAAUACAUAUCCCAAUAAACCCUGAACCACAUAAAACAAAUACCCCCUGCCACGUCCUGACCAAACUACAAUAACCAAUAACCCCUUAUACUGGUCAGGACGUGACAUUUUCACCCAACUUUUAACCUAAAUCUAAUUACGUAAAUGUUUGGGUGGGAUUUCACAUUGAAUUCACAUUAGUUGACAACUCAACCAAAUGUAAAUCAAAACCAGACAUUGAAAUGACACCUGUGCCCAGUGGGAACUAUAUAUCUGGUCUGAUGAACUAUAAUUAUGAAAUUGGUUAGCUGCUGGUUGAGCUCGGACAGUCCGCUCAACACCAUCCUCCCAGCGUGUGUGAGGUAAUUGAGGGAGGUACUGUCUGCGGAUGUCAUAGUCUGUGAAAACAAGUCAGUACAUUUACAAAUAAUCCAGAAAUGUUCAUCAAGUGAAAUACAAAAGGUGCUAAAUUCACACUUUCUCACCUCCACGUCAGAUACCGGCUAGCCUCAGAGAGAAGUUGGUUUUCCCUUGGUUUGCAAAGUAACCCCUGUAAAUAGAAAUGUUUAAAAAGAAAUGUUCAACCUAAGAAGCUAAAACAUACAUCAGUGCCAUGAAAUUAAGAAAUACUUUGAUGUUAGCCUAUGUUAUAACUGCAGGAUUCAGAAAGACCAUACCAAUGUAUGAUCUAAUUUGAUCACUCUUUUGUUGCUGAGAAUUGUUCUGCAUGGAAGGAAAUGCAAACUUGUAGUAUAUUGGAGUUUUAAAAAGGCUUUUCAAGUUUGUAAUUUCCACUUUGAAAUGUCAGACACGAUUUGCCCUAACGAAAAAUGUAUUCUGUUGCUGCAGGAUUUUUUUCCUGCUGUAGCAAACUGGCUCAAAUUAAGAUACUACAUCUGUAUAACUACGAUAUUGGGCUGAUUAUUUCAAAACAAAUGUUUUUACUAUAAAUGAACACAUGAAAGUGAACUCACCGCCACUGCAACAUUAUUUUGCUCCUCCACAAACUCCCCCUCAACU
rnacentral:lncRNA from 1 species